rnacentral:rRNA from 1 species
CCUCGGGCGGCUGCAGUGGGGAAUAUUGGACAAUGGGCGAAAGCCUGAUCCAGCCAUGCCGCGUGUGUGAAGAAGGCCUUCGGGUUGUAAAGCACUUUCAGUGGGGAAGAAAGCCUUGGGGCUAAUACCCUCGAGGAAGGACAUCACCCACAGAAGAAGCACCGGCUAACUCCGUGCCAGCAGCCGCGGUAAUACGGAGGGUGCGAGCGUUAAUCGGAAUUACUGGGCGUAAAGCGCGCGUAGGCGGUCUGAUAAGCCGGUUGUGAAAGCCCCGGGCUCAACCUGGGAACGGCAUCCGGAACUGUCAGGCUAGAGUGCAGGAGAGGAAGGUAGAAUUCCCGGUGUAGCGGUGAAAUGCGUAGAGAUCGGGAGGAAUACCAGUGGCGAAGGCGGCCUUCUGGACUGACACUGACGCUGAGGUGCGAAAGCGUGGGUAGCAAACAGGAUUAGAUACCCCGGUAGUC